GGCGCGCCCUCUUCCAUGCAAAUCGGGAAGCCUUGUCACGGAAGGUUUUCACUUCAAUCUGUAUUUUCUUAAAUAUCGCGCAUUUUCCCAUUAUUCUCCGGCGAUUUCCUUAAUUUGUUAACGUGACAUCAUUUGGGAGUGUUUACAGUAAAAUUUGGUAUUGGGAAGGACUUUUAAAGGAGUGAAAAGGCGUGACUAUAAAUAGACUAUUGGUCGAUGUACUUGUAGGGAAAUCUAGUGAGCAUCCCAUUCAUAAAACACAUUCAUUUGGUGCUGGGCAGUGAAGGUGCAUAGAUCGGGAAGAAAUUUUUCAGUGAAUGAAUAUUGUAAAAUUAUCUGUGAACGUUUUUUGGUACACGCGUUCGGCGAGUUACGGAUUUUCUCCAUCUUUGUAGCUGAGCAAAUCAAGUGGAAAAAUGGCGGCGGAAGGAGGAUUGGCGCCCACCAGCGAUGACAUGCCGGUGGGAGGGCCCAAAACACCACAACAAAUCGCAGCGCAGCGUCGCUUACAGCAGACGCAAGCGCAAGUGGAUGAAGUUGUCGACAUAAUGAAAACAAACGUGGAGAAGGUAUUGGAGAGAGAUCAAAAGCUCUCAGAACUCGACGAUAGGGCAGAUGCGUUACAGCAAGGUGCGUCGCAAUUUGAACAGCAAGCCGGAAAACUUAAAAGCAAAUUCUGGUUGCAAAACCUAAAGAUGAUGAUAAUUGCAGCUGUCAUUGGAAUCAUCAUUUUGGCUUUAAUCAUUGCCAACUUUGUGUGAACAAGUUUCGGUAACCGAAGUUUAAUUUAGAAGUUACUUGUUAUAAUAUAAUAAUUAAUAGUGAUAUAAAGUAUGUUGUUAUUUCGUUAUUACUAUUUGAUAAUAAUCUCUUUGGUCUGUAAACAUCAUUAUGGAGGAUUGAAGCCGAGGUACCUAUUCCAUCAGCAACCCCAUUCUGGCACAGCAACAUGUAAAAAAUAAUAUACGACUAUCUAUCGUUUUUGUAGAAAUUAGUUUUGUUGAGCGUUAUUUAAAUUAUUCGAAAAGUUUCAGACUUUGAAGUCUGUGAAUUCUAUUUCAUUAUCGAUUUACCUAUAUAUUUAUAGAUGUUUUAAAAUUUUAACGUCACUCGUCCUAUAAUAUAAUACGACUCCUUUAGUCACUGUCAGCUGAACUACGACAAACAAAAUAAUUAGAGUAUUUUUAGAAGAUCUUUCUUUGUUAAAAUAUUUACCUUAAAAAAUUCGUAACAACAUAAAAUUGCUAUUUGCUAUACAUAUUAUAGAUACCUAAGGCUUAUCGAAAAUAUACCAUAUCUUGUAAUUUUAAAUUGUGUUCAAAAUGAGACGGAU